AAUUUCACCACGAACAAGAACUGUGUGAUACUUAUUGAGUGGUGUGAGUAUUUCUUCAAGACUUGUGUAUGGAAUAUCUCCAGCUGACCAAUCCAAUCCGUUUAUGUUCUGCUGGUUAAGGUGCUGCUGCUUAAGAGCUCCAUUAUCCAAUUCUUUUAUGUUAUAUGGCGGUUUGAAAUGGAAAAAAUUAGGUAUAACAGUUCCAGCAGGCAUAAACGCCAGCUCCUUAACGAAAACUUGUUUGUUGUUACCAAGUACAUAUUGAAAAUCUACUAUAAUGCUUGAAUUAGAUCGACUGUGUUCAUCAUUGGUUGAGAUUUUUUAAUCAACUGAGGGUGUGCUUGCUAGGGCUUUCUCCUUUAUAUACCGGACCACGAAGUCAUUUUUGGAUUCGAGUAUUAUGUUGUUCAUAACUUAAAAUUGAAAUGUGGUCUGUCAACUACUCGAAAAUUUUUGCCGAUGGUUUGGAUGCAGCAAAGUAAAAAUAAUUUCAUUGGAUUUGACAAAGACGAAUGGAUGCAACUUCUUACGUAUAAGGAAUUUAUUCAGUUGAAGCUGGAUCAGUAUGACUUCUUGAUGUCUGAUACAAUUGUUGAUCAUCCGUGUAUGCCUUUCAUAAAAUGUAACUUUGGAUUUAGGAAAUCAGAUAAGCAAUACGUUUUUGUAAUUAAUCAGUAUGGUAACAAAAUUGAGUUCGAUUCUGAGUCCUGGAGAUCAUUACUAAGAUUAGGCAUAUUUUUUACUACAUUUUUAUGUUGGAACUCCAUAUUAAGACAGCAAGUAAUAUAUCUUUACAAUAAUCAUAUUAUUCCUAAGUGUGUAUCUUUACAAAAAUUUGAUAUUCAACUAUCUGAUUUAGAAGGUACCUAUGAUAAGGAUGUGCAAAUAGAUUUAACACGAUUAUGUUUUGAAAUAUCAAAAAAGAUGCGUUCAGAAAUAAAAAGGGAUGUUCUUGUAUAUAAGCAAGCAUUAUUGACUAAGCAACCAUCGUCAUCAAAUAAAAAAUAAUACUAAUAAAUCAACACCUUAAGAUGAGCAAACAACAAGUUGUCGAUGAAAUUCAUAAGGCAGCGCGAAAAAACUUCAUACGGCGAAAGUUCGUUCAAAAAGGGAUAAAUGACACAUGGCAAAUUGAUUUAGUUGAAAUGAUACCAUUUUCGAAAGAAAAUAAGGGUUUUAGAUAUUUACUGACCGUUAUUGACACGUUCUCAAAGUAUGCAUACGCCGAGGCAGUUAAGUCAAAGUCUGCCCUGGAUGUAGCAGAACCAAUGAAAUCUGUUUUUAAAAAGAGUAAAAGUACACCCAAGAAUAUUCAGUCAGAUCAAGGGAAAGAAUUUUUUAAUUCCACUUUUAGGAAAUUAAUGGAUAAAUUUGAUAUAAAUCAUUAUCAUACUUAUACGCAUCUCAAGGCUUCUAUAUGUGAACGCUUUAAUAGAACAUUAAAAAAUCGUAUGUGGAAAAUGUUUAGUAUGCAGGAUAAAUAUAAGUGGAUUCAUAACAUCAAUUAUCUCGUAAAUCAAUACAAUAAUUCAUAUCACCGAACAAUUAAAAUGAAGCCUAUAGAUGUCUGCACGAAAAAUGAAGAGUUUAUUUUAAAAUCGGUAUAUAAUAUACCAAAAAUAUUUCCAAAACAUAAAUUUUUAGUAGGUGAUUUUGUUAGAAUAAGUAAAUACAAGGGAGCAUUUAUGAAGGGAUACGAACCUAAUUGGACCACAGAAGUUUUUAAAGUUUUAAAAGUCAAGUCUACAUACCCCGUAACAUAUGAAAUACAAGAUUAUAUGGGUACCCCUAUUAAUGGGUCAUUUUAUGAAGAGGAACUUAAAAAAGUGAAAGACAAAAAUGCUUUCUAGUAGAGAAAAUACUAAAAAGGAAAAAUAAUCAAGUGCUUGUAAAAUGGAGCGGUUUCGAUUCCAGCCACAACUCAUGGAUAUCUGUAAAUGACCUGCUAAAGUAAUAAAACGCAACAAUAACAAGUUUAA